GACAAGCAAUGUUUUCAGUAAAUUUUGUACAAGAGCGUCUGAUCGGAAACUUAUUUCCAGGGGUUGUAGCCAGCAACGAUAUAUCGUUGCUCGGCCCGAUAAGGGUUGAUUGACACGUUGAGUGCCGCGUCGGUAACACGUAAGCGACACUGAUUUUUAACCAGGCUUUGGAAAUACAAAAAGGAAUUUUCGGGAUUGAUGUUCGCCGCUCAACGUGUGAAGCGUCACUGAACAAAACGCCACUGCAGUUACUAGAUCGACCACAACACCUAGUCGCUUUUCAUUUCAGUACAGCGACACUGCGAAGAUAAAUUACAUCCGCGGACACAUUUGGAAGAUGAUGGAACGUUCUCUAACGAACUGGCCAAAUUGCUGCCAUGUUAUUCGUAAAACACUAAAAUUCAAUUUUACAUCGAUGGAUCGGAUAGAUUAACAAGAUCCGAUAUUUUCAAGAAAAUAAAUAUUCGAAUUCAAGAAUAAUAGAUACAGCUCGAGUUAUCAAUUCAUUGGCGUAGGUUUUAUUUUCUCUGUCAAAGUUCGCCUUCAUUGCAAAACCGCAGAAAUACCUACAAUAAUCCUAUCGAUCUUCAAUUUUUGUACUGAUCGAUGCAGAGAUACCGGAACAUAAAAUGCUUAAAAUACGAGACAAGAUUCUAACCUCGAAGGACGAGGAACCAAGAAGAUAAAUAAAUAAGUAAUAAAUAAACCAAGUAGAUUAAGUUCAUCCGAGCCGCUGAAAAUCAAGUGGAACCGUUCGAAACCUACAAAACGGUGUUUGAUUAGCCGUCCUUGUACGACGCGGCACCUGCACCUUGCGGUCCCGUAUGGGAUCGGCCCCGUUUUUCCCCGCCGUUGGCUCUACUCGGCGAUGCCCAUACGAGCGAGCAGAAGAUCCAAGCAUUCAUCGAUCCUCGGGUAAGGGUUCUCGAUCGGUUUCUCGUGACACGUCACGAGAGGGAGAGCCGACGGACGCGUCACUCGUGCCAGUCGGAUAAGAAUGACGUCGGCGUCGGCGGCUUUUCCCGUCCCCAUCCCCCACCCCCGUCUGAAUCCCCAAUUGCGGUCGCGCCACCCUCGACGCGUAACCCCGUGGAUCUCUGUGCCCUGAGCCCGGUUCUUAUCGCCGCUUCAGCCGCGAAGAAUGUGAUUAAAAUUCCUUUUAACGACGCCGGGGAACAGACUGCGGCGAGGGAGAGGGGGAAAAGUGAGAGCCGAGCGACUGAGGAAGUGAGAAAGAGCGCGCACGCGAGUGAGAGCGAGCGACUGAGGAAGUGAGAAAGAGCGCGCGUGUACGCGAGUGAGAGGGAGGGUGGGAGAGAAAGCCCCUGUGCGACGGAAUCGUCGCCGGCUACGUUGACGCUACCGACAAAAAGCUACCAGACUGCCGCGUCGCGCCACUCCGCGCGAAAGGGGAACCAAGUGCUUUGUACGUGCGCCAGCAACCACCGCGCGGAACUUUGUCGGAGAUUUUAAUUCGAGUUGCGACCGUCUAUUCUCGCGGGGAUCGGGUCCCGACGGCUUUCCCUAGUUUCGCCGAUGAAUAGAAAAAGAACAGCAACACCGACAGCAACGCGAUUAAAAGAAAAAAAAAAUCGGACAGCCGCCGCGUUUUUUCUAGGGCAUCGUCGACGCUCGCAAAGAGUUCGAGUAUCCGUGAACAUCGGCCGCUGCUCGAAAUCGUUUCGAAAACGCCCAAGGGUCCCGAUCGUUGAUUCGAUCGACGCUGUCAUGACAUCAUUGAAAAUAUCGCGAAACCUUGACGGAAAGCGUGAUUUUUCCGCAAUUGGACGAAACAAGACCGCCGACGGUAACGGAACACAAGAAGCCGAUAGGCGGCACAUUUAUAAAAUAUUCGAACACAAUUCGAUAACAAUAUUUAUCUGAUCGAAGUUAGGAAGAAUUAAUAGAUUCGAUAAUUCCAUAAUUCAAUAAGUCCAUAUAUAUAUAUAUAGAUAGAUAUUAUUAUAUUAUACUUGUUAUUAUAUUAUUAUAUUAUAUUUAUUACCUAUAUUAUCUAUAUUUACGAUAUAAUCAUUAUCUGUAAUAAAUACUAGUCCUUUGUUACA